UCAGGAGCAAAAAUACCCCCUAGGAACAAGGAAACUCUUAAAAGUUACUGUAUAGAAAACCAAUAUAAAAAUCAGUCAUAUUUCUAUGUACUCAGAAUGAUAAAUCUGAAAGUAUGAUCAAGAAAAUGAUCAUAUUUACAUUAAUCUAAAAGUGUUGGGGUUGAAUUUAAUUUAGAGGUGAAAGUUCUGUACACUUAAAACCAUAAAAAAUUGCAAAAGAAUUAAGGAAGACAGUAAAUGGAAAAGUAUUACAUGUUUAUGGGUGGGAAAAAAAUCCCUAGUUUUAGAAAUCUGAUACUUCUCAGAGAAAUCUACACAUUCAUUGCAAUCUUCAUCAAAAAUUUAUUGAUACUUUUAAGAUAAAUGAGCAAAGAAUUUUAAAUUUUAAUGGAACCACCAGUGACCCAGAAUAACCAAAACAAUGCCUAGAAGAACAAGGUGAGGGACUUUGCUUUUGUUUCAAAAUAUACUAAAAUACAGUAUCUAUCUAUCUAUCUAUCUAUCUAUCUAUCUAUCUAUCUAUCUAUCUAUCUAACAUGUCUCGCAUAUAAUUUAAACUAUAAAUAUAGUAACUAAACUGGCAUUGACCUGACAUAAGAACAUAUACAUAGAUAAAUAAAGCAGAAAAGGAAGGCCAGAAAUAAGCUUACUAUGAGAUAAUCAAUGUGUCUUCCAAGGGCCCAAGCAUACCUAAUGUGAGGAAGUGUAGUCUCAGAACAAAUAUGUUGAAAAGCUUGUGUUUCUAAAGAUGAUGUUGAAACUGGAUAUGCAAAGGAAAAAUACUAAAUCUUUAUCUUAUAUGUACACGAAGUCAAUCUAGGUGGAUUAAGUAUUUAAAGAAGAAUUGAAACUAUAAAACAUCUAGAAGAUGCUAUAUGUUUAUGCCCUUAUUAGAUGCCACUCUGGUCAUUCAUUGUCUGAAUUCCACUCACCACCACAACCUAUUUUCAAAUAGGCUUCUUCUAAAGAAUUUCUUCUGAUACUUGCAUGUUGAACAGCUACUGAGAACCAUUUAUACUUGAAGGAAAAUUUUUAUGAAUGUAAAUUUCUUGGACCAAUUUUUUUCUUUAGUAUUUUAAUAUGGUACUCCAUUUCUUUCAGUAAUUUUCUACAUUCAUGUUGAGAACCGAGACCAUUCUAAUUUUCUAUUCCUGACACGUCCCAUGCAUUAGUAUAUUUUGAAACAAAAGUAAAGAUUCUCUUGAGUUGCUUAAUUUUCUUCUUUGCUAAGUUACACUUUUGUUAACAUGUAAUUCAUAGAAUAUGAGAGCACCUUCACAGAAUAUGGAAACUCAGUGGUUAAUUGUGUAUUCAUGAAGUUGUAUAGCUGUCGUCAUACCUAACUUUUAGGUAUUUUCAUCAUCCCAAGGGAGAUCCCAAAGGAGCUGUCACUCUCACCUUGAAGUCCCUAGAAACAAUUAAUCAGCCUGCUUUUUAUGGGUCUAUUUUGUGCAUUUCAUAUAACUACUUGGGGGUUUUGUUACUUUUUUUUUUAUGAAACAUAAUUAUCAAGGUUCAUCCAUGCUAUAACAUUUAUCAGAACUUGGCUACUUUUCAUUAUAAGUAUUCUAUUAAAUGGUUACAUUGCAUUUUGUUGACUCAUGUAAGCUGAUCCCAUCCUAUAGCUAUUCCAUUAUAAAAUUGCUUUAAUUAAGAGUCUUACACGAAUUUUAUGAACAUAUAUGCUGGUAAUUUUGCCAUGCAGAAGAUUUUUAUUUUGACUGAGUCCUAUUUGUUUUGUUUUUAAACCGUGUCAUGCAUAAAUUCUUUUCCAAGAACAAUGUCAUAAACCUUCUCUGCCCCCAGGUGUCAUAUGGAGGUCCUUAUGGAUAUCGGGGGCUGGAGGACCAUAAAAGAUGAACAGGCACUAUUGAGAAACUGGGUAUGAGGAAAGCAGUGAAUGAUGCCCAUUUCACAGGGCUGGAUAAGCCAGACUUGAGGAAGAAAUUGACUCAGCAAGGACCUCAAGACUGGCAUGGGGAUCUCAUAGCUUUCGUGAGCACUUAGGUGAGGCAGGAUCUUUAUAAAGUUGGACAGGCUUUAGCAGAUGUACAAGACUCAGACAGCAUGUAAGGAGUGUGUAAAGUGACAGAGCAACCUAGAGGAGAUAAGAGAAAGGCAAAGUUGACAAAGAGGUCUAUCUGGGUAAUUCAAAGGUCAAUGUGGCAAGAUUUGCUUCAAGCAGGAGUUCCUAAUGGGGUGGGGUGGAGAAAUGGACAGCAAGCCAAAUUCUUUGCUAAGGAGCUUCGGGAAGGUGUUAGAGCCCAAGAAGCAGUUCUCAGAAGGACUCCAUGAUAAAACAACACAGGUAAAGAUAAUCAAGCCUCUCUCAGGGGUGGGUAAUUGUCCCCCCCCCCCCACAUACUAAGCAGGAUGUCUCUCUGCUCUAGCAAAGGUUAUGCUCGGUUUGUGUAAGUCAUCCCCAAGAAGGAAUUUUAACCACACUAAGUCUUUAUUUACUUUUAUAUGCCAUUGUUUAUUGCUGUUGUUUUUAUUUUACAGAUAAAAAUGAGUUAUAUGGAUGUUAGGUAUCAUUACUAAGCCUACCAUGUUACAGGGAUCUCUAGAACCCAACAUUAUUCACUGAAGGAAACGUUUUGGCUGAUUCUGGCAGCAAAAGUGACUUUCAAGGGUGUAUAGUGCAAAAUCGUGAUUUGGACUUAAUUAUCUCACUCAGUCACUUCAUACAUUUUUGUCAUGUUGAGCAACGGAUCUGGGUAGGGGCUGGGCUGCAGAGCCUUAACUUAGGAAUGUUAAACCUGUCUUGUAAUCCCAGAGAAUGAUGGCCAGAGCCUCAAAGUCCACUCGCAAACUAUUCAUUAAGCAAGCUCCUCAAAUCUUGAGGUAUGUGAUCUUACCUUUCUAAAUCACGCCAAAGAAAUUCCUCACACUGUGAGAAACUGUGUCUUACAGAUUCCACCACUGCACACAGCAGCAUUGCUGUUCAAUCUCAUUUGCCUCCAUGUCCAGGAACUCCGUCACCACCUGGUUCUUUCCCUCUUUUCCUUUGUCCAGAUGCUAAUAUUUUCUUUGUUAAUUCAUCUAGUAUUUACAUUAUAUGUGCUAAAUAUAUUGUAUAGCACAAUAUGAUAUAUAUAUAUUCCAAAAUUCUUCUGUGCUUAGCAUUUUGAACUACAUUAUUAGUCUAUAUUAAUUCUCUCCCAUUGCCGUCUCUUGCUUCUCCCACAUGAAUCUCCUUCCUCUUCCCAGAUACCAUGCUAAAUUAUUUUCAUAAUUUAGAAAAAGUCUGAAUUCUGCCUUUAAGAUAGUUAAAAAAUACUGUAUUUUUCUAUGUAUUUUUCAUGUGAGUUUGACUUUUGAAAAUUGAAAAAUGUGGUUUUGCAGUAAAAGGGACCGCUGGUGGAAGUCUGCAGAGAGAACCAACGAAGCCUUGGAAUUCCUCCUGCUCUGACUGCCUUUUGUGCCACAUAAUCUCUGCAGUCUUUCAGUGAGUGCUGAGCAUCACUGCAAAUGAGUUCAAACAGGAUUUUAUUACUUGUAACUGAAAGAAUGUCACCAAGUAAUAAUUAUACUAAAACUCUUAGCCUGAUAAUGUGGGCACAGGUACUGUGGCAUUUAGAAACACUGUCUCCGUCUCCAAAGGUAUCUUUGUUUCCUGGGUGAUUAUUCAGUCCGAAUAUGUAUGCCCAUAACCUAUGGAUGUUCAGACACUGAAUUUCCAAGGGACUUUUGGUUUAGGCUUGGUGUGCAAAGAGGGUUAGUUUUAGGAUAAAUUAGAAUAUUUGUCUGGCUUUAAAAUAUAGAACUCCAGAUCAAGGAUCAAGUUAAACAAACUUAGUGUAUGAAAACUAUAACAGUUUCAUUUCACUGGGAAACUAGUGCCUAAGUCAGAGCAUUAAUUGCCAUAAUAAAAUGAUUUCCAUUUGUAGAAAGCAAACAGACUUGUUCAUAAAUAAAUUUGAAUCAUGAUUUCAACACUUAGCAACUGCAUGAUUUUGGUUAACCUACUUAUAAUCCUUGUGCCUCAGUUUUAAAUUUGUAAAAUGGAAACAAACUUAUCAACAUUUGGAGAUACUUAAAAGCAUACAUGUAUGGAAAACUGUUUCCUUUCAUUCAUCUACCUCCCCAGGCUCUUACAGUCUUCCAAGAUGAUCCCCAAGCCUUUCAGGGAGAGGUGUGCUGUAGACAUACCACUCAAGGCUGAGUACUUUGAAGUCUCUUAUUUUCUGCAUGUUGACUUGUGGGUUUCUCUGUUAACUGCCAUUUUCUGUGAUCUAUUUGCAUCUGGGUACGACUGAUGAUUACUUUUUUUCUCAGGUAAUGUGCAUAGCACCUUCCAGCUCUAUGAAAACUAGGCAGAAGGGAUUAAGUUUCCGGGAAGCAGAGAGGCCAUAUGUAAGAUCUUGAGUUCCAGAAUCAAAGUGUUGAGAACAGUGAAUCCCCUCCUGGAGAACAGCUGCUUUGGCCUGUUGCCCAGUCAAGAAAGGACUUAGUAUGAGCUAGGAAUAUAUAUGACAUUGUAGUUGUUUGUUUUUUAGUCUUUACUCUUUGGGGAGCCUACGGGAGCCCACACGGGGCCCUAGUAAGACCUUACUCAAGGUCCGAGAAUCUGAGCAAUCUUUACUCAGCAGGGCAUCAGGUGUUUUGAAGGGUCUACACUUGGCUAUAUGUUGUGCUUUGAUCUUAAGAGGGGGAGAUCUUUUGCCUUGCCCCUAGACAUUGUAUUAAAAAGCCCUUUGGAAUAAACUUUGAGGCAACUGGGUAUUAACCCAGGGCCGUUCUGAAGCUA